rnacentral:rRNA from 1 species
UGGGGAAUAUUGCGCAAUGGGGGCAACCCUGACGCAGCCAUGCCGCGUGUGUGAAGAAGGCCUUCGGGUUGUAAAGCACUUUCAAUGGGGAAGAAAAGUUCGCUGUUAAUAGCGGCGAGCCCUGACAUUACCUAUAGAAGAAGCACCGGCUAACUCCGUGCCAGCAGCCGCGGUAAUACGGAGGGUGCGAGCGUUAAUCGGAAUUACUGGGCGUAAAGCGCGCGUAGGCGGUUUGUUAAGUCAGCUGUGA